rnacentral:rRNA from 1 species
GUAGGUGGCAAGCGUUGUCCGGAAUUAUUGGGCGUAAAGCGCGCGCAGGUGGUUCUUUAAGUCUGAUGUGAAAGCCCCCGGCUCAACCGGGGAGGGUCAUUGGAAACUGGGGAGCUUGAGUGCAGGAGAGGAAAGUGGAAUUCCACGUGUAGCGGUGAAAUGCGUAGAUAUGUGAGGAACACCAGUGGCGAAGGCGACUUUCUGGCCUGUAACUGACACUGAGGCGCGAAAGCGUGGGGAGCAAACAGGGAUUAGAUACCCUGGUAGUCCACGCCGUAAACGAUGAGUGCUAAGUGUUGGGGGGGGUUUCCGCCCCCUCAGUGCUGCAGCUAACGCAUUAAGCACUCCGCCUGGGAGUACGGUCGCAAGACUG